GCCUGGGUGGCUCAGUCGGUUGAGCGUCCGACUCCGGAUCUGGUGGCUUGCGGGUUCGAGCCCCGCGUCGGGCU